AUUGAACGCUGGCGGCAUGCCUUACACAUGCAAGUCGAACGGUAGAGUAGCAAUACUUGAGAGUGGCGAACGGGUGAGUAAUAUAUCGGAACGUGCCCAGUCGUGGGGGAUAACGUAGAGAAAUUUACGCUAAUACCGCAUACGAUCUAAGGAUGAAAGCGGGGGGAUUCGCAAGAACCUCGCGCGAUUGGAGCGGCUGAUAUCAGAUUAGGUUGUUGGUGAGGUAAAAGCUCACCAAGCCGACGAUCUGUAGCUGGUUUGAGAGAACGACCAGCCACACUGGGACUGAGACACGGCCCAGACUCCUACGGGAGGCAGCAGUGGGGGAAUUUUGGACAAUGGGCGAAAGCCUGAUCCAGCAAUGCCGCGUGCAGGAAGAAGGCCUUCGGUUGUAACUAGCUUUGUUACGGUAACG
rnacentral:rRNA from 1 species